rnacentral:rRNA from 1 species
UACGUAGGGGCCGAGCGUUGUCCGGAGUUACUGGGCGUAAAGCGCGCGCAGGCGGCCGCCCUUGCCCGCCGUGAAAGCCCCCGGCUCAACCGGGGAGGGUCGGCGGGGACGGGGCGGCUUGAGCCCGGCAGGGGCCGGUGGAAUCCCCGGUGUAGUGGUGAAAUGCGUAGAGAUCGGGGGGAACACCCGUGGCGAAGGCGGCCGGCUGGGCCGCGGCUGACGCUGAGGCGCGAAGGCGUGGGGAGCGAACGGG